rnacentral:lncRNA from 1 species
CGGGAUGACAAGCCACUAGUUUCAACAACUUCAUCUCUUGGCUUAGAGUCGCAACCUCGAGGGCUUUGAAUCAUGACUUCAAGGCUCAGUGUCAUGACACCCUACGCUUAGUGUCGCGACCUCUACAACAGGCUACUCCAUGUUGAGUUUUGAUGAAGUUCAACUUUCCCAAGGUGAUGGAAGGUCAAUUUCGCAACACACAAGUACCUAUGUCACAACCCCCA